CGUGUAGGCGGCUAGGUAGGUCCGUUGUGAAAACUCGAGGCUCAACCUCGAGACGUCGAUGGAAACCAUCUAGCUAGAGUCCGGAAGAGGAGAGUGGAAUUCCUGGUGUAGCGGUGAAAUGCGCAGAUAUCAGGAAGAACACCCGUGGCGAAGGCGGCUCUCUGGUACGUGACUGACGCUGAGAGCGAAAGCGUGGGAGCAACA
rnacentral:rRNA from 1 species